rnacentral:rRNA from 1 species
UACGAAGGGGGCUAGCGUUGCUCGGAAUGACUGGGCGUAAAGGGCGCGUAGGCGGCUUGUAUAGUCGGAUGUGAAAUUCCUGGGCUUAACCGGGGAACUGCGUCUGAUACUGGAUGGCUUGAGUUUGGGAGAGGGAUGCGGAAUUCCAGGUGUAGCGGUGAAAUGCGUAGAUAUCUGGAGGAACACCGGUGGCGAAGGCGGCAUCCUGGACCAACACUGACGCUGAGUGAGCGAAAGCCAGGGGAGCAAACGGG